rnacentral:misc_RNA from 1 species
GAAAUGCGAUACUUGGUGUGAAUUGCAGAAUCCCGUGAACCAUCGAGUCUUUGAACGCAAGUUGCGCCCGAAGCCAUUAGGCCGAGGGCACGCCUGCCUGGGUGUCACACAUCGUUAUCUGGGUUCAUGGCCGACUUCGCCGUGAUAAAAUGGUGGAUGAGCCACGCUCGAGACCAAUCACGUGCGAGCCGGUCAGUUCUGGACCCAUCGACGACCCUUUGCGUGCACGCACGCUCCCAACGAGACCUCAGGUCAGGCGGGGCUACCCGCUGAGUUUAA